rnacentral:tRNA from 1 species
GGUGGCUCAGUGGUAGAGUGAUUGCCUUGCAUGCACGAGGCCCUGGGUUCGAUUCCCCAGCACCA